GACGAACGCUGGCGGCGUGCUUAACACAUGCAAGUCGAACGGAAAGGCCCUUCGGGGUACUCGAGUGGCGAACGGGCGAGUAACACGUGGGUGAUCUGCCCUGCACUUUGGGAUAAGCCUGGGAAACUGGGUCUAAUACCGAAUAGGACCACGCGCUUCAUGGUGUGUGGUGGAAAGCUUUUGCGGUGUGGGAUGGGCCCGCGGCCUAUCAGCUUGUUGGUGGGGUAAUGGCCUACCAAGGCGACGACGGGUAGCCGGCCUGAGAGGGUGACCGGCCACACUGGGACUGAGAUACGGCCCAGACUCCUACGGGAGGCAGCAGUGGGGAAUAUUGCACAAUGGGCGCAAGCCUGAUGCAGCGACGCCGCGUGAGGGAUGACGGCCUUCGGGUUGUAAACCUCUUUCAAUAGGGACGAAGCGCAAGUGACGGUACCUAUAGAAGAAGCACCGGCCAACUACGUG
rnacentral:rRNA from 1 species